GCACAAGCGGUGGAGCAUGUGGUUUAAUUCGAAGCAACGCGAAGAACCUUACCAGGUCUUGACAUCCCGAUGCUAUUUCUAGAGAUAGAAAGUAUUCGGUACAUCGGUGACAGGUGGUGCAUGGUUGUCGUCAGCUCGUGUCGUGAGAUGUCGGGUUAAGUCCCGCAACGAGCGCAACCCCUAUUGUUAGUUGCCAUCAUUCAGUUGGGCACUCUAGCGAGACUGCCGGUAAUAAACCGGAGGAAGGUGGGGAUGACGUCAAAUCAUCAUGCCCCUUAUGACCUGGGCUACACACGUGCUACAAUGGUUGGUACAACGAGUUGCGAGUCGGUGGCGGCGAGCUAAUCUCUUAAAGCCAAUCUCAGUUCGGAUUGUAGGCUGCAACUCGCCUACAUGAAGUCGGAAUCGCUAGUAAUCGCGGAUCAGCACGCCGCGGUCGAAUACGUUCCCGGGCCUU
rnacentral:rRNA from 1 species